rnacentral:sRNA from 1 species
UGUAAAUGCCCUCCUUGGGCGUUUCCUCCCUAGAUUUCACCGCGCCACGAGCGCGGUUUUUUUUGCCGCUG